rnacentral:rRNA from 1 species
UACGUAGGUGGCAAGCGUUGUCCGGAUUUACUGGGCGUAAAGAGCGCGCAGGCGGUCGUUUAAGUCGAAUGUGAAAGCCCCCGGCUCAACUGGGGAGGGUCAUUCGAUACUGAUCGACUUGAAGGCAGGAGAGAGAAGUGGAAUUCCCGGUGUAGUGGUGAAAUGCGUAGAUAUCGGGAGGAACACCAGUGGCGAAGGCGACUUCCUGGUCCAGCAUCGACGUUCAGGCACGAAAGCGUGGGGAGCAAACAGG